UACGAAGGGGGCUAGCGUUGCUCGGAAUUACUGGGCGUAAAGGGCGCGUAGGCGGACAGUUAAGUCAGAGGUGAAAGCCCAGGGCUCAACCCUGGAAUUGCCUUUGAUACUGGCUGUCUUGAGUAUGGGAGAGGUGAGUGGAACUCCGAGUGUAGGGGUGAAAUUCGUAGAUAUUCGGAAGAACACCAGUGGCGAAGGCGACUCACUGGCCCAUUACUGACGCUGAGGCGCGAAAGCGUGGGGAGCAAACAGG
rnacentral:rRNA from 1 species